rnacentral:lncRNA from 1 species
GGAAAGGGAGGUACAGAGGGAGUCUUCAGAGACAGUAGAGGGAAAUGGAUUCUAGGAUUUAGUAAAGGCUUCGCCAACUCAACAAAUAUUCAAAUGGAGGCCAUGUCCCUAUUACAGGAUCUUCAACUAGCCAUCCAAAAUAGACUAACUCCUCUAGUCAUUGAAACGGACUGCCAGGAUCUCAUUAACUUGCUUAAAAAUGAAAAUGUGCU